rnacentral:rRNA from 1 species
UACGUAGGGUGCGAGCGUUGUCCGGAAUUAUUGGGCGUAAAGAGCUUGUAGGUGGUUUGUCGCGUCUGCUGUGAAAAUCCGAGGCUCAACCUCGGACUUGCAGUGGGUACGGGCAGACUAGAGUAUGGUAGGGGAGACUGGAAUUCCUGGUGUAGCGGUGGAAUGCGCAGAUAUCAGGAGGAACACCGAUGGCGAAGGCAG